GGAAGAGAUAACCGCUGAAAGCAUCUAAGCGGGAAACUCGUUUCAAGAUGAGAUCUGCCGGGGCCUUGAGCCCCCUGAAGAGUCGUUCAAGACCAGGACGUUGAUAGGUCGGGUGUGGAAGCGCAGUAAUGCGUUAAGCUAACCGAUACUAAUUGCUCGUGCGGCUUGACCCUAUAACUUUG
rnacentral:rRNA from 1 species